UACGUAGGUGGCAAGCGUUGUUCGGAAUUACUGGGCGUAAAGCGUGCGUAGACGGUUAUUUAAGUCGGAUGUGAAAGCCCCGGGCUCAACCUGGGAAUUGCAUUCGAGACUGAAUAGCUAGGGUACGGUAGAGGGAAGUGGAAUUUCCGGUGUAGCGGUGAAAUGCGUAGAUAUGCGGAGGAACACCGAUGGCGAAGGCAAUCCCCUGGGCCUGCACUGACGCUCAUGCACGAAAGCGUGGGGAGCAAACAGG
rnacentral:rRNA from 1 species